rnacentral:rRNA from 1 species
AGAGUUUGAUCCUGGCUCAGAUUGAAUGCUGGCGGUAUGCUUAACACAUGCAAGUCGAACGGAAACGAUACUAGCUUGCUAGUAGGCGUCGAGUGGCGGACGGGUGAGUAACGCGUAGGAAUCUACCUAAUAGUGGGGGAUAGCCCGGAGAAAUCCGGAUUAAUACCGCAUAAUCUCUAUGGAGUAAAGGGGCCCUCUUCUUGAAAGGUUUCGCUAUCAGAUGAGCCUGCGUAAGAUUAGCUAGUUGGUGAGGUAAAAGCUCACCAAGGCGACGAUCUUUAGCUGGUCUGAGAGGAUGAUCAGCCACACUGGGACUGAGACACGGCCCAGACUCCUACGGGAGGCAGCAGUGGGGAAUAUUGGACAAUGGGGGCAACCCUGAUCCAGCAAUACCGCGUGUGUGAAGAAGGCCUGAGGGUUGUAAAGCACUUUCAAUUGUGAAGAAAAGUUAAUAGUUAAUAACUAUUAGCCUUGACGUUAACUUUAGAAGA